rnacentral:lncRNA from 1 species
UAGGCUGUCAUGCCAUGUCACCAUAAUUCUUCAAUAUUUAAUUAAAAACCACAACAACUUAAUAUUCAAGUCCUGUCAAGAAAACUAAUUGGAUACAGAGACCAGCUGCUGGAGAAGUUUGGAUGUCAACUCCAAAUGUGCUUAGGCAGGGUCUGUCUGCAGACCAGUGACCUGACUGCCAUGGAGGGAGAGCAGCUCCGAGGAUAUUCCCAGCUGUGAAUCCUCCUGUGCCAUCCCUGUUCCCCACCGUGCAGGAUUUUAUGCAAAUUGCAGGAAAAGCAGCACUGCCAUCACCACCGUCUCCCUUAAUAAAUCCUGUAAUGGACUCCACGCCUCUACGUCGCAGCCCACGAGGGACAAGCUGCCCUGUGCGAGCCUCGGUCUUUGUGAGUUAGAGAUGCUUAGAGGUGGGGAGGAAGGGGCCUCCAGGGGCCAUUUCGUCACUUGCCCAUGCAUGCUGGUGUAAAUCGUGUGUAACUGCAGCUCUGCAUUUACACGAAGGCGGUGUCGGGGGAGAACCAGGGCUCAGCGACCUCAGGAAGAAUUAGAUAAAGCUGCAAAGCUGACGGGUGAUCAGGAGGUGAUGACAGAAGCACGGCAGGAAAUUCUGAGCUGCAGCAUGUGACUAUUUUACAGAGCCCUUUUUCUUUUUAUUUUUUAUUUAUUUAUAUUUUUUUUGUUUCCUAGGGAUUUUUUUUUCCAGUGCUGGUACAAUUUUAUGGAAUAGCUACAAAGAGAAGAGCUGGCCUCGCUCUCCCUGUUUCCACUACUCCGUCCCCUCCUUGGAGGAUUUACUUGUGAAUUACACUUCCAGGGCUGAGAAGAGAUUCAAGCUGCGUGGUCGCAGUUAUACCGAGCAGGGGACAGGGGCCAGCAGGACUGAAGUUGGCGAGUGCACGCCGUGGAGGUGUCCUGGUAGCCAAACAGGUGCUGCUGAAAGCACCUCUGUGAGCCUCCAGACUGCUGGCACAUGUUGGUUGGGUGAUGGAGGGACUAAGGAGGCCUCCGGAGGAAAAGAAAGGAAGAGCCAGGGAAUGAUGCUGGACCUCGCCUCAGGUGGGCUGGCAAGUGCUCACACUGGCGUGCUGUGAAAGCUGUCUUCUCCAAGAUGACAUGGGUGGAAAGGUGACCAAGGAUGGGAACGUUUUACGUGCUCUGUUCUUGGUGCUGGUGCACCCCGCUGCUCCUGGCUGGGUGGCACCAUCACAAAGCAGAGCAACACACAGGGAGCCCAGCAUAUUACCAAUAGCUCUCAGACCCACGCAUCAGUCAGUGUGGAACAACCUCUGAAACAUCUGCAGGGAAAUAUCUGUUGUGAGGAUGGCAAGGGCUAAUAGGGGGUUCUGAAGCAUCCACUGCAGCUGUCUGCAGCUCAUCCAGUCUUUGCUGAUAUUGCCUGCUUGGGAGGAACGUGCAAAGAUGUAAGAGAUGAAAAGAAGGCUGCCAUAAAGUACUAACAGUAUAAAAACUCCAUUGUCCUACCAUUUCCAGAUGUUUUAUAGCAUUGGAUCUCCAUUCGUUUAAGUGAACCUCGCUGAUUUACUCUGGUAACCCAGUGCAGCAUCAGUUCCUGUGAUAUCUUGUUGGUCUGAAAGAAGAUGAGUAGCACCUCAGAACUAGAAGGACAUAACCAGUCUUCUCUGCCUAUGAUCUGCAAGAGCUUUCUGCUCACUUUAUGUGGGAAAAUAAUUCUGUAACAGCAGCCCAUGCUGUUACAGCCAGGCUUGCCAUAGCUUGUGGAACAUUAACCCAAGUACUACUUUCGAAAUACUUGAGGAAAUAUGGGGAAAUAUGUCUCCUCAGAUGAAUCUCCAGAAAGAAUUUAGUUCCUCCCUUUUCCUUCAUUCCAACUUGGAUCCUUUGUCAGAUCUGGAGCCUACAUAUGUUCAUGGCUCAGGGAUGAGGGAGGUGAUCAGGGUGCAAAGGUGGAAAGCAAAAAGAAAAAAAAAUGGAGUAAAAAACCACAAGUAGGAAGGAAGCUGUUGGUUGUACAGUCUGAUCCAUGCUAUGGCUCAUAAUUAUUACUUGCAACAGCAAAUGUUGAUGUAAGUGCUGCAGAGUGCCAGUAACUAGCAGGCAU